rnacentral:rRNA from 1 species
UACGUAGGAGGCGAGCGUUGUCCGGAUUUACUGGGCGUAAAGCGCGCGCAGGCGGCACUUCAAGUACGGUGUGAAAUCUCCCUGCUCAACGGGGAGGGUGCAUUGUAAACUGGAGAGCUAGAGGACGGUAGAGGGGGGUAGAAUUGCUGGUGUAGCGGUGAAAUGCGUAGAGAUCAGCAGGAAUACCCGUGGCGAAGGCGGCCCCCUGGGCCGAACCUGACGCUGAGGCGCGAAAGCGUGGGGAGCAAACAGG